CUUUAUAAUUAUUGUAUUCAAUAUAAUUAUUGACUAUAGAAUGAAAGAACAUUCUAUAGAAUGAGGUGACCUAGCAGUCAAGGGCAGAAUAAGAAAAAGAACCCAGGGUUUCUGGCCCCUCUCCUCCACCCCCACCAGCUUCUGGAUUUCUGCUUGGAAUCAUGCCCCCUCUUUCAAUUAUAUUUUGGCUUAUUAUGUUAAGAGUAAAUGUCACUAUUCCUCAGGCCAAGCAUGUGUGAAGGAAGAAGGAGGUCAAUUCUUUUCUCUUUUCAGAUUUGUGUGCAGCCAAGAUGGGGCCUACCCAAGCAAGCUGAGUUGGGAGGUCUUACAUUCGGGUCAAGCAGAGAUGACAUUCACUGUUGUAUGUGACCCCAUCAGUGCCACAGACGAGAGGGAAGGCCACAAUAUCAAGCAUCUGCCUUACCAUUCUUGAGAAAAUGCGCUUUCUUGCUGACACUGGAACCUCUGAAAAACAAAUCAGUAAGAAUAAGUGUGUACUCCUACUUCA